GCGGGCCUCUCACUGUUGUGGCCUCUCCCGUUGCGGAGCACAGGCUCCGGACGCGCAGGCUCAGCGGCCAUGGCUCACGGGCCCAGCCGCUCCGCAGCAUGUGGGAUCUUCCCGGACCGGGGCACGAACCCGCAUCCCCUGCAUCGGCAGGCGGACUCUCAACCGCUGCGCCACCAGGGAAGCCCGGGAUCAAGGUUUUGAGACAAUUUGGGGGUAUAAAUACAACUGGAUAAAAUACUAGCAACUUAAUUUGUUCCUUGAAAAUUACAUGUUUCGGCUUUUCAGUGCUAGUCAUGGUGGUUCUGCAGGGCCAGGAUGAGAUGCAUUGGAUUGUUCAGCUAAUGGAAAGCAGAACAAAACCCCAAAGCAAAACAACCUAAGUAGAACACUGGUACUUCUACUGGAUGCUAUGAUGCCAACAACCAACCCCCCUCAGAAAAGAGCCCCAUCAGCACGGACAUAGUUAAGCACAUAAAUUUGGGGACAGUGCUGACCUGCAUGAACAAUAUUUCUAAGCAAAUCCUACGUUCAGAUUCUCACCUGGAGAAGCUGGAAACACAAGAAUACAAAUGUGUUAUGGAAACACAAACUGGCCUAACAUCCCGGAAUAUGGAGGUCUGUUACCUUUUGAGGACGCUCCUCUGCACCAAAAAGGCUGUUGAAAAGACAUAUCCUACCCUGGUUCGCGGUUACUAUCUUACCCCCAAAUCUGGAAUCCAGGAGGGAAGCAUGCUAAUCUUCUGGAUCAACUAAAGCUCCCCC